ACUAAGUAGUUGAUGUCUCAUCUCUCUCUCUCUCUCUUUUAUGUUCUUAAUUUUAGAGCAAGUUGUUGUUUUCUUUAAUUAAUCUUCUUGGUCCCAAAUCUAAUCUCCAUCUAGCUAGCACUCUUUCCAAAAAAAUUAGGAGUGAGCUAACAUAACAUAAGUGUGAAAAUUAGAAAAGAUUUACUAAUAAGGAAUUGAUCAUAAUAUAUAUGAGUUGAAAAAAUCUACAAGUGGUUUCAAACAUGGAAGAAGGAAUCAAAAAUGGAUCACAAAGAAAAAACUUNNNN
rnacentral:lncRNA from 1 species